rnacentral:sRNA from 1 species
GAUCAUUAGAGUUCUCAUCUUGGAAUCUGAAGGGAAAAGGCCAAGGCAUCAGCGUGUGAAGACCGCAAAGACGAUCCCGAGUACAGUUGUGAACAGCAUUGCUGCUAGGCUCCUCCUGCAGAUCAUCUGAAAUGAACCUCUCUUAUUGAUUUUUAUUGGCCUAGAGCCAGGAGUACUGCAUUCAGUUGACUUUCAGGGUAAAAAGAAAACAGUCCUGGUUGUUGUCAUCAUAAACAUAUGGACCAGUGUGAUGGUGAAAUGAGAUGAGGCUCCGCAAUGGAACUGUAGCCACUGCUUUAGCAUUUAUCACUUCCUUCCUUACUUUGUCUUGGUAUACUACAUGGCAAAAUGGGAAAGAAAAACUGAUUGCUUAUCAACGAGAAUUCCUUGCUUUGAAAGAACGUCUUCGAAUAGCUGAACACAGAAUCUCACAGCGCUCUUCUGAAUUAAAUACGAUUGUGCAACAGUUCAAGCGUGUAGGAGCAGAAACAAAUGGAAGUAAGGAUGCGUUGAAUAAGUUUUCAGAUAAUACCCUAAAGCUGUUAAAGGAGUUAACAAGCAAAAAAUCUCUUCAAGUGCCAAGUAUUUAUUAUCAUUUGCCUCAUUUAUUGAAAAAUGAAGGAAGUCUUCAACCUGCUGUACAGAUUGGCAACGGAAGAACAGGAGUUUCAAUAGUCAUGGGCAUUCCCACAGUGAAGAGAGAAGUUAAAUCUUACCUCAUAGAAACUCUUCAUUCCCUUAUUGAUAACCUGUAUCCUGAAGAGAAGU